CGCCUCCUCGCCCUACCUCAGAGCGCCUCGCGUCUCCUCGCCCUACCUCAUAAUGCCUCACGCCUCCUCGCCCU